CGACUGCAGAGAGCGCAGCUGUUUAUACAUAACCGGCUGGGUCGCGAAAUUCGAUUUUAUAUUAGAAAUUAUUUUGGAACUAUUCGGAUACGUUUCGGGAAACUGGAAAUAUGUAAAUCGACCCGAAAGCAAGCCGUGUUUUUUCUUUACUUUUGAGUUUGUGAGUUUUUGUAGUGAAAAAACCAGAUACAUAUGUAUGUAUGUAUGUAUUUGCGCCUCUUUAGUCAAUAAAUAUUAAUGCACAUUGAGCAGUUGGACGGGCAUGAAUUAGAAAGCAUUAUUUAUUGCAAUCAUCUGCAGUGCGAAUCAAAACAAAAUCGGAAGCGCUCCGAGAGUGAGAAAGAGGAGAGUGAGAAAAGCAGUGAAAACGAAAUAACAGCCGGCUGAUUUGUUGCGGAAAGGAAUACGAAGAGAGAAGAAGAAAAACGUCAAGAAACAUUACAGCUGAAAAAGGAACCUGGCUAAGUAGCAUGUAUGCCAGGAUCAAAAUAGUGAAUAUAGCAUCAUAAUGAGCAUCCGCACGGAGCAGGAUUACGACAGUGCCACUCCGGCGCUGCAACAGCAAAUGAAUUUGGCCCGAAGAGCCUGCUGGAGGAUCAAAUCCUCCAGCUCGGAAUCCCUCUUCAAAAAUAUAGUUUCUGCAAAAACAGAUACAGAUACAGUACCACCACCACCAUCAAAAGAUAAAAACAAAACGAGAAUAGAGCCACAGACAGCGCCCGCGAAACGCAACACAUCCUCCAACUGGCGGGAUAUGUUCAGCAAGAGGAUGCUGCUUAUUUGCGCCCUAGUCCUGAUCCUUGGAAUUUCCCAGGCCCAGGCCCGGCCCAACACGAUUGCUGUGGGAGUAGCUCCGGGAAAGGUCAGCCAAGAUAUUCUAAAUCCGGUCACCCAGCUAAAUCUGCGCCAGUCGACGCCCGUGGAUGCGGUAGAUGUGAGCCUGGAUCCAACGCCAUCGGUGAGGUUGCCACGUGCCGAGCCAUUGAAAUCCGGUGACCAGGAUGCCGGCGAGAGCCACAAAAUGGAGCGGUAUCCCCUCUCCAGUGUGGACUUUGCUCGGGUAAAGACGCCGUUCAUCAUCGGAAUCUGGAUCCUGUCGGCUAGUAUAGCUAAAAUCGGUUUCCAUAUGACGCCCAAGCUGCAUCUAAUAUUUCCGGAAUCGUGCCUCCUAAUUGUCGUGGGCGUGGUAAUUGGCGUGGUGCUCUAUUUCUGCACCGAUGUUGCCGUCUCCCCGCUGACUCCCAAUACCUUCUUCUUCUACAUGCUGCCACCGAUUAUCCUGGACGCAGGCUACUUUAUGCCCAAUAGAUUGUUCUUCGACAACCUGGGCACCAUCCUGCUGAUGGCGGUGGUCGGAACCAUCUUCAACAUAGCCACCAUCGGUGGCUCGUUGUACGCCUGCGGAAAGAUGGGAAUUUACGGGGAAAGCGAGACUCCGGGUCUAAUGGACGUGUUUCUAUUUGCCUCACUGAUAUCUGCUGUGGAUCCGGUGGCCGUUUUGGCCGUAUUCGAGGAGAUACAUGUGAAUGAGAUCCUGUAUAUUGUCGUCUUUGGCGAGUCCUUGCUGAACGAUGCUGUCACGGUUGUGAUGUACCACAUGAUGGAGUCCUACAAUGAGAUAGGCUUAGACAAAAUCAUCGCCCAGGACAUCGCCAGCGGCGUGGGUUCCUUUUUUGUGGUUGCACUGGGUGGCACUGCCAUAGGCAUCAUCUGGGGCUUUCUCACUGGCUUAGUAACCCGAUUCACCGAUCACGUGCGUGUCAUAGAACCCAUUUUCAUAUUUGUGAUGGCGUACUUGGCGUAUCUUAAUGCGGAAAUAUUCCACAUGAGCGGCAUUUUAGCCAUCACUUUCUGUGGUAUCACAAUGAAAAACUAUGUGGAAUCGAAUAUUUCACAAAAGUCGCAUACGACUGUUAAAUAUGCCUUAAAGAUGUUAUCCAGUUCGGCGGAGACCAUUAUAUUUAUGUUCCUAGGCGUGGCCACUGUGAACAACAUGCACGUAUGGAAUACGUGGUUUGUGGUAUUGACCAUUGCCUUCUGUUCAGUUUUUCGUGUAAUUGGUGUCAUUUUGCUAUCGGCCCUUGCCAAUCGCUUCCGUCUGCACAAAUUGUCCCGGGUGGAUCAGUUUGUGAUGUCGUACGGAGGAUUGCGUGGUGCAGUGGCCUUUGCCCUAGUACUGUUAGUGGACGAGAAUGUGGUCAAGCAGAAGAACAUGUUUGUUACCACAACGAUAGCUGUGAUUUACUUUACUGUCUUCCUGCAAGGAAUCACUAUUAAGCCGCUGGUGAAAAUCCUUAAUGUGAAGCGCGCUAAUAAACGCAAGCCAACCAUGAACGAGCGAAUUCAUGAAAGGUUCAUGGAUCACUUGAUGGCUGGAAUUGAGGAUAUAGUGGGCAAAACGGGCAACUACAAUGUGCGGGAUAAGUUCAAGCGUUUCGACAAUCGCUUCAUUCGUCCGCUGCUGAUCAGAGAUCUUAAGGGAGCUGAGCCAAAGAUCAUCGAGACGUACUCCAAACUGACAAUGCGCGAUGCCAUGGAAGUCAUGAGGCGAAAUCCAUCCACUAUUGGCCAGAUGACGGGAACCGAGUCUAUGAGCGCCCUUUUCCGGAAUUAUACCAAUAACUAUAUUGGCGGCAGUCCCAGUCUAACAAAUCUAGACAAUACUUGCUCACGUAAUCUGGACAUGGCUGAGCUGGAUUAUAAUCCCUCUAAGAAGGAUCUGACCGAUGCCAGGAUACAUCAUCUUUUGGCCGAAGAACUGAAGCCUUAUAGAAGGCACCGUCGUCUUAGUUAUAGCCGACACGCAGUAGAUGACAGAGACUUGUCCACUCAGGUCAAUUACAAGAUGCAAAUGAACUUCAGGCGCAUGUUUAAUGAUCGAAAACAUCACAAACGCAGCAAACGUGGUGCCAGCAACAAGGAGGCCAAGGAGAACGUUAAGCAGAAUCACGUCUCUUUCCAUGACUUUCAACAAAACGGCACCACUAAGCAGCUGACCAAUGCAGAAGAGUGCCAACAGAAUCCCAACGAGAUCAAUGUUGUUGGCCCGAGCGACGAUUGGGAUGAUGGCCUGACGUUCACCGCCAAAUCAUCACCUGACUCGGACCGUGCCAAUAACAAUUCCCUGAUAGCCCACAUCCAAAACCUGCCGGGUUUCGAUGCCUCCAAGGCCCGUAUCGUCGUCCAGCACUAUGCGCCCAGGGCCGACGACUAUCCGGACACAGAUCUAGAGUCCCCGGAACAGGCCAUUGGGCCCACGGCCGCCGAAUUGAUAUUGCCGUGGCGGCGGGAUCGUUCAUACCAGAGCAUUGUGGCCGAACAUCCCAUUCCCGAGGAGGAUCGUAAUCUGUCCCGCGAAUCCGACGGAGAAAGGCGUGUGGCCACGCCCACCGCCACGGAAUCCCAGUUGCCUUGGAAACGGCAGGGUGACGAAUGCACGGAUGCAGUGCAGCAGAACGAGUUCCCCGCUUGGGCCUCCAACAAGGAGUACUUGGCCUACAAUUCCCCCAGUGCAACAUUCCUAGGUGGUAUAAACAAGCCUAAACAGCCAAAGUCCGUCAUAGGUCUCUUCCGACGUGAGAGUUCUAGCUCGAAGGCCGGGAGCGUUGGCAUCGGCAGCACAGGAGCCAUGGACUCUGCCGCCACUGGCUCCGACACGAUGAUGGUGCCCAUGUCCAGCCAGCCGCCCAACACUCCAUCGUCGUCCAUGCACAAUCCGCGGCUGGACAAGCGCUCCCAGUCGAUUUCGUCCAGUUCUCUGGGCGCUGGAGCGCAUCAGCUAGGUCCGGAGGGUCAUUCCGGCCCAUUUCCGAUUACGGCCAGUCACCGGCGGAACGUACGCAGGGGCUCCAUGCUUGAGCUAAGCGGACUCAUUGCAACUGGACGAAGGCCCAGUAGAAUUUUGCAAUUUAGUACGGGAGCAACUAAUUCACUAGGGUCAGCCAUGAUUACAAGCCCUUCUCCUCCACCUCCUACUACUUCAACAACAACAACUACAAAACCUACAAGCACAUCAACAACCAAGAACAACACCACCAACAAUUCAACAGAUACAACAUCAGCAAGCGCGACGAACUCGACGCCAACCUCUCCGAAAUCGGAGGACAACGCUACAUAUACGUCCCAUACAAAGUAAAGAUCUGAAAUGCCAGCGAACCCAAAAUGUCUUGAGCAACCAAACCGACCAUUUACGAAUUUCGAUCCUUAGUGAAAAGAAAGUCAAUUUCCCAAUACCGCGUAUACUGGCGUGAAUACAAUAACUCCAAACACGACAUAUGUGUACUGUAUAUAGAGCCACAGAUCAGUGCAUAUCAUUGUAGAGUAACUGGUUGUACCCUUGUACGAUAAUUUUUUGCCAACGCUCGCUCCUUUUACCUUAGCCGAAAUUACAGUACAGGAGACCGUACUUAAGUCUAUUCCGAAAUAUUAAUCUUGCUAUUGGCUUCAAACUUAAUUUCUUGCACUUACUCAACACAGAUAUCUGAACUAGCCCACCAAAUUUCGCUGUUUUACCGUUUCAGGAUGUUGUUAAUUGGUGAUGUGAUCGAUUGAUUUAGUGUCAGACAAUAUUUUGCUUUGCAAAAAGUAUGCUGGGCUACUGCAGUUCUUAAAUUUCGUUUGCAUUUUUAUUGACCUGUACCCAUUUUUUUGUAUAACAGUCCUAGUACAGUAAUAAAACAAGUAUGCGAUAGUAGAACAACCUAUUAAUUUAUAUUGUUCAUUGAUUUUUGUGGUUGUACUUCGUUUAAUAUAUACGUAUUGUAUAUGCGUAUUCAUCUUAUAUAUGCAUAAAAGUUUUGUAUGCUUUAUGUUCCAUAUUAGCACCCAGCCCCUUCCUAUCCAAUUAUAUAACCCAAUAUGCAAUGCAAUUUCUAAAAAAAACAAUUAACAAUUAAUGGAAUCUAUUACUCAAUAAUACCAUUGUGCUGUGUUUACUUGUUUGUGAGUAUUUCCAAUCGGAAAAACUUAAGAAAUUCAAACUAAAUCCCUAACUAUAACUGGUUAAUGAACAAACUAGAUUGGUAAACAAUUUGAUGAAAAAUUAUAUUUUUUAGCGGCGUCUCAAUUGAAUCUGAUUAAUUAAAUCCGAAACGAGCACAGAGCAAGAGCAAUUCACUAGCUACACUGUACUCUAAAUGCACAAACACACACCAUGUUUCUACACGCACACAAGCACACACUGACACCAAACUGUUAUACAAUUGAGAACACCUGUGAUAACUUUCCCUAGACACAAUUUCUAUGCCUAAGGUGUAUCUUUAAACGGCUUUAAUCACACGAACGAUGUAGACACAAUACCAGAGGAGUCGUCGUACCAGCAUGGACACUCCAAGUCCUUGUGUGAGCCGGCGGACUCGGAUGAAUGGGAGGGAGCA
rnacentral:misc_RNA from 1 species